rfam:Oryza barthii chromosome 7, whole genome shotgun sequence.
UUCAAGUGCAAUUGUGAGUUUCCGUAUCCAAUAUUUGACUAUCUAUCUUAUUUAAUUUUUUUUAUGAUUAAUACUUUUAUUGUUAUUAGAUGAUAAAUUAUAAAUAAUAUUUUAUGUGUGACUUUAUUUUUUAAUUUUUUUAUAAAAUUUUAAAUAAGAUGGAUGGUCAAAUGUUGAACACCAAAACUUACAACCACACUUAAA